AAGUCGUAACAAGGUUUCCGUAGGUGAACCUGCGGAAGGAUCAUUACCAUACCUUCACAACAAGCCCUGCGCUUUCGAGAGAAUUGCAGGCAACUACCAUGAGCAAGCGCCACGCGGUUCCGCGUGGCGCGAGGGAAAGAAUCAUGCUGAUAUGAGUGAAUCUUUCUAGCGCCGUUCCCCCAACGACACUCCGGUGUCGGCGGGGAGCUCUGAGAACGGACUCGGUGCUUUCACCGAACCCCUGUGCUUGAAAAGGAACAAAAAUAUAGUACAACUGCAAACGGUGGAUCACUCGGCUC
rnacentral:misc_RNA from 1 species